CUAGUCUGUAAAGGUGAUGUGAUGGUUGGUCUGUAAAGGUGAUGUGAUGGUUGGUCUGUAAAGGUGAUGUGAUGGUUGGUCUGUAAAGGUGAUGUGAUGGUUGGUCUGUAAAGGUGAUGUGAUGGUUGGUCUGUAAAGGUGAUGUGAUGGUUGGUCUGUAAAGGUGAUGUGAUGGUUGGUCUGUAAAGGUGAUGUGAUGGUUGGUCUGUAAAGGUGAUGUGAUGGUUGGUCUGUAAAGGUGAUGUGAUGGUUGGUCUGUAAAGGUGAUGUGAUGGUUGGUCUGUAAAGGUGAUGUGAUGGUUGGUCUGUAAAGGUGAUGUGAUGGUUGGUCUGUAAAGGUGAUGUGAUGGUUGGUCUGUAAAGGUGAUGUGAUGGUUGGUCUGUAAAGGUGAUGUGAUGGUUGGUCUGUAAAGGUGAUGUGAUGGUUGGUCUGUAAAGGUGAUGUCUGGUCUGUAAAGGUGAUGGUUGGUCUGUAAAGGUGAUGUCUAGUCUGUAAAGGUGAUGUC